GUCUUUUUGUAUUAAAUAUAAAGUCUCGCCUGCCCACUGAUUCAUUUGAAUGGCCGCGGUAUUUUGACCGUGCUAAGGUAGCAUAAUCAUUAGUUUUUUUAUUGAAAGCUGGAAUGAAGGGUUGGAUGAAAAAAAAACUGUCUUUAUUUAAUUUAUAAAGAAUUUUAUUUUUAAGUUAAAAAGCUUAAAUUUUUUUAAAAGACGAGAAGACCCUAUAGAGUUUUAUAAAAUUAUUAAUAAAUUUUUUUAGUAUUAAAUUUAUUUAUAUAAUAAAUUUAUUUAAUUGGGGUGAUUAAAAAAUAAAUUUAACUUUUUUUAUAUUAUUAUAUUAAUUAAUAAUUUUUUGAUCCAAUUUUUUUUUGAUUAUAAGAAUAAAUUACCUUAGGGAUAACAGCGUAAUUUUAUUGGAGAGUUCAAAUCGAUAAUAAAGAUUGCGACCUCGAUGUUGGAUUAAAAUUUAUAAUUGGUGUAGUAGCUAUAUUAUUAAGUCUGUUCGACU
rnacentral:rRNA from 1 species